UUGGAGGGCAAGUCUGGUGCCAGCAGCCGCGGUAAUUCCAGCUCCAAUAGCGUAUAUUAAAGUUGUUGCAGUUAAAAAGCUCGUAGUUGAAUUUCGGGGUUCUACCGUUGGUCGGGCUUUGUCUGUACUGGUGUGUAGAAUUUCUACCUUCUGGGGAACCACCAUGUUAUUAAUUUAGCGUGGUGGGAAACCAGGACCUUUACCUUGAAAAAAUUAGAGUGUUCAAAGCAGGCUUAUGUCUGAAUACAUUAGCAUGGAAUAAUAGAAUAGGACGGUGGUCCUGUUUUGUUGGUUUCUGAAUCACCGUAAUGAUUAAUAGGGAUAGUUGGGGGCAUUAGUAUUCAAUUGUCAGAGGUGAAAUUCUUGGAUUUAUUGAAGACUAACUUCUGCGAAAGCAUUUGCCAAGGAUGUUUUCAUUAAUCAAGAACGAAAGUUAGGGGAUCGAAGACGAUCAGAUACCGUCGUAGUCUUAACCAUAAACUAUGCCGACUAGGGAUCGGACGAUGUUAAUUUUUCUUGACUCGUUCGGCGCCUUACGGGAAAC
rnacentral:rRNA from 1 species